rnacentral:rRNA from 1 species
AGCCGACUAAACAAUACAAAUAUAUUAACCCCACCAAACAAAACAUUUGAUCAACCAAGUAGAUGCGAUCGAACAGUAACAUACUACCACAUUAGUACCGCAAGGGACAACCACAAGCAACAAACAGCAAAGAUUAACCCUUGUACCUUUUGCAUCAUGGUCUAGCAAGAAAUCAAAGACAAGAAGAAUCACAGCCUCCACCCCGAAACCAGAUGAGCUACUUUAAAGCAGCCUAAUGGGCACACCCUUCUCUGUAGCAAAAGAGUGGGAAGACUUAAAAGUAGAGGUGAAACGCCUACCGAAUCUGGAGAUAGCUGGCUACCCCAAAAAGAAUCUAAGUUCAACCUUAAGACAAAACAAUACCCCAUUAUUGCCUAAGGACAAUCAAUAAAGGUACAGCUUUAUUGAAACAGGAUACAACCUGAAUUUGAGAGGAAAAUAAAACUACACUACCAGUAGGCCUUAAAGCAGCCACCCAAUAAAAUAUCGUUAUAGAAUUAAAUAAAAAACUCAAACAUCAAUUAAAAACUCCAAACCAACUAAAGGUAGACCUAUAAUCAUAGGUACUAUUAUGCUAGAACUAAUAAUAAGACAACCUCUCUUCAAUGCACCCGUCCCCUAGACCGGAUAUACCACUAGCCAUUAACAGACCAAAACAGGCAUAAACUAACCAAAACACACCUAUAAAUCAAACUGUGAACCCAACACAGGAGCAUUAAAAAGAAAGAUUUAACAUUAUAAAAGGAACUCGGCAAACACAGACCCCAACUGUUUAACAAAAACAUAACCUUUAGCCAAACAAAUAUUAAAGGCAACGCCUGCCCAGUGAACAAUUAAACGGCCGCGGUAUCCUAACCGUGCAAAGGUAGCAUAAUCAUUUGUCUACUAAUUAUAGACCUGUAUGAAAGGCAAAAUGAGGGUCCUACUGUCUCUUAUAAUUAAUCAAUUAAACUGAUCUACUAGUAAAAAAGCUAGAAUACCUACAUAAGACCAGAAGACCCUGUGAAGCUUAAACUAAACUAUUAAACCAUAUAAUAGCUACUUUCGGUUGGGGCGACCUUGGAAAAAAAAAGAACUUCCAAUACCAUGACCUUCCUCAUACUAAACCUAGGCCGACAGGCCAACAUAAGACCCAGCAAAGCUGAUAAACGAACCAAGUUACUCCAGGGAUAACAGCGCAAUCUUCUUCAAGAGCCCAUAUCAAAAAGAAGGUUUACGACCUCGAUGUUGGAUCAGGACAUCCUAAUGGUGUAGCCGCUAUUAAGGGUUCGUUUGUUCAACGAUUAAUAGUCCUACGUGAUCU